UACGGAGGAUGCAAGCGUUAUCCGGAUUCAUUGGGUUUAAAGGGUGCGCAGGCGGAUUAUUAAGUCAGGGGUGAAAUCCCACGGCUCAACCGUGGAACUGCCUUUGAUACUGAUAGUCUAGAGUAUAGUUGAAGUUGGCGGAAUGUGUCAUGUAGCGGUGAAAUGCUUAGAUAUGACACAGAACACCGAUCGCGAAGGCAGCUAGCUAAGCUAUAACUGACGCUCAUGCACGAAAGCGUGGGGAUCAAACAGGAUUAGAUACCCUGGUAGUCCACGCUGUAAACGAUGAUUACUCGAUUUUGGCGAUACACAGUCAGCGUCUGAGCGAAAGCAAUAAGUAAUCCACCUGGGGAGUACGAUCGCAAGAUUGAAACUCAAAGGAAUUGACGGGGGCCCGCACAAGCGGAGGAGCAUGUGGUUUAAUUCGAUGAUACGCGAGGAACCUUACCUGGGCUCGAACGUAAGAUGACUGUAGGUGAAAGCUUACAUCUCUUCGGAGCAUUUUACGAGGUGCUGCAUGGUUGUCGUCAGCUCGUGCCGUGAGGUGUCGGGUUAAGUCCCGCAACGAGCGCAACCCCUACCUUUAGUUGCCAGCAUGUAAUGAUGGGGACUCUAAAGGAACUGCCUACGCAAGUAGUGAGGAAGGCGGGGAUGACGUCAAAUCAGCACGGCCCUUACGUCCAGGGCUACACACGUGCUACAAUGGCCGAUACAGAGGGCAGCUACCUGGUGACAGGAUGCAAAUCUCCAAAGUCGGUCUCAGUUCGGAUCGGAGUCUGCAACCCGACUCCGUGAAGUUGGAUUCGCUAGUAAUCGCGCAUCAGCCAUGGCGCGGUGAAUACGUUCCCGGGCCU
rnacentral:rRNA from 1 species